CUCAUUUGCGGGCCAAUUCACGUCAUUAUCAGUGGAGUCAGCCUCGGCUGAUGCCGUUAGACCUUUCACCUUUAUUCACAGGUAAGCCAACGUCUAGGAAGCGACGCUUUUCGGCGGCGAUGCGGCUCUCGUCGAGGCAGAACGAUGGACUGGAAGGCAGAUAACUCAAGGUUGAAAACUAAAUCGAGACUCAUCAGACCAGGCAACAUUCUUCCAGUCUUCAACUGUCCAAUUUUGCAUGACAACGACCCGAAACACACAGCCAGGGCGUCUAAGGAGUGGCUGCGUGAGAAGCAUCUCAAGGUCCUGGAGUGGCCUAGCCAGUCUGCAGACCUGAACCCAAUAGAAAAUCUUUGAAGGGAGCUGAAAGUCCAUAUUGCCAACGACAGCCCCAAAACCUGAAGGAUCUGGAGACGUUCUGUAGGGAGGAGUGGGC
ensembl:lncRNA